UACGUAGGGGGCAAGCGUUGUCCGGAUUUAUUGGGCGUAAAGCGCUCGCAGGUGGUUCGUUGCGUCGUGCGUGAAAGACCCCGGCUCAACUGGGGAGUGCCGUGCGAUACGGGCGAACUGGAGGCCAGUAGGGGGAUGCGGAAUUCCGGGUGUAGUGGUGGAAUGCGUAGAGAUCCGGAGGAACACCAGCGGCGAAGGCGGCAUCCUGGACUGGUCCUGACACUCAGGAGCGAAAGCGUGGGGAGCGAUCCGG
rnacentral:rRNA from 1 species